rnacentral:rRNA from 1 species
UACGUGGGGUGCAAGCGUUGUUCGGAAUUACUGGGCGUAAAGCGUGUGUAGGCGGCUCGUUAAGUCUGGUGUGAAAUCCCCGAGCUUAACUCGGGAACUGCAUCGGAAACUGGCGAGCUUGAGUUCGGGAGAGGGUGGUGGAAUUCCUGGUGUAGAGGUGAAAUUCGUAGAUAUCAGGAGGAACACCGGUGGCGAAGGCGGCCACCUGGACCGAUACUGACGCUGAGACACGAAAGCGUGGGGAGCAAACAGG